rnacentral:rRNA from 1 species
GGUCAAGUGAAGAAGCGCAUACGGUGGAUGCCUUGGCAGUCAGAGGCGAUGAAAGACGUGGUAGCCUGCGAAAAGCUUCGGGGAGUCGGCAAACAGACUGUGAUCCGGAGGUAUCUGAAUGGGGGAACCCAGCCAUCAUAAGAUGGUUAUCUUGUACUGAAUACAUAGGUGCAAGAGGCGAACCAGGGGAACUGAAACAUCUAAGUACCCUGAGGAAAAGAAAUCAACCGAGAUUCCCUUAGUAGUGGCGAGCGAACGGGGACCAGCCCUUAAGUUGUAUUGAGAUUAGCGGAACGUUCUGGAAAGGACGGCCAUAGUGGGUGAUAGCCCUGUACGCGAAAAUCCCUUUGCAAUGAAAUCGAGUAGGACGGGGCACGAGAAACCUUGUCUGAAUAUGGGGGGACCAUCCUCCAAGGCUAAAUACUACUGACUGACCGAUAGUGAACCAGUACCGUGAGGGAAAGGCGAAAAGAACCGCGGAGAGCGGAGUGAAAUAGAUCCUGAAACCGUAUGCGUACAAGCAGUGGGAGCCCACUUUGUUGGGUGACUGCGUACCUUUUGUAUAAUGGGUCAGCGACUUAUUUUCAGUGGCGAGCUUAACCGAAUAGGGGAGGCGUAGCGAAAGCGAGUCUUAAUAGGGCGUCUAGUCGCUGGGAAUAGACCCGAAACCGGGCGAUCUAUCCAUGGGCAGGUUGAAGGUUGGGUAACACUAACUGGAGGACCGAACCGACUACCGUUGAAAAGUUAGCGGAUGACCUGUGGAUCGGAGUGAAAGGCUAAUCAAGCUCGGAGAUAGCUGGUUCUCCUCGAAAGCUAUUUAGGUAGCGCCUCAUGUAUCACUGUAGGGGGUAGAGCACUGUUUCGGCUAGGGGGUCAUCCCGACUUACCAAACCGAUGCAAACUCCGAAUACCUACAAGUGCCGAGCAUGGGAGACACACGGCGGGUGCUAACGUCCGUCGUGAAAAGGGAAACAACCCAGACCGUCAGCUAAGGUCCCAAAGUCAUGGUUAAGUGGGAAACGAUGUGGGAAGGCUUAGACAGCUAGGAGGUUGGCUUAGAAGCAGCCACCCUUUAAAGAAAGCGUAAUAGCUCACUAGUCGAGUCGGCCUGCGCGGAAGAUGUAACGGGGCUCAAACCAUGCACCGAAGCUACGGGUAUCAUCUUUUGAUGAUGCGGUAGAGGAGCGUUCUGUAAGCCUGUGAAGGUGAGUUGAGAAGCUUGCUGGAGGUAUCAGAAGUGCGAAUGCUGACAUGAGUAACGACAAUGGGUGUGAAAAACACCCACGCCGAAAGACCAAGGUUUCCUGCGCAACGUUAAUCGACGCAGGGUUAGUCGGUCCCUAAGGCGAGGCUGAAAAGCGUAGUCGAUGGAAAACAGGUUAAUAUUCCUGUACUUCUGGUUAUUGCGAUGGAGGGACGGAGAAGGCUAGGCCAGCCUGGCGUUGGUUGUCCAGGUUUAAGGUGGUAGGCUGAGAUCUUAGGUAAAUCCGGGAUCUUAAGGCCGAGAGCUGAUGACGAGUGUUCUUUAGAACACGAAGUGGUUGAUGCCAUGCUUCCAAGAAAAGCUUCUAAGCUUCAGGUAACCAGGAACCGUACCCCAAACCGACACAGGUGGUUGGGUAGAGAAUACCAAGGCGCUUGAGAGAACUCGGGUGAAGGAACUAGGCAAAAUGGCACCGUAACUUCGGGAGAAGGUGCGCCGGUGAGGGUGAAGCAUUUACUGCGUAAGCUCAUGCCGGUCGAAGAUACCAGGCCGCUGCGACUGUUUAUUAAAAACACAGCACUCUGCAAACACGAAAGUGGACGUAUAGGGUGUGACGCCUGCCCGGUGCCGGAAGGUUAAUUGAUGGGGUUAGCGCAAGCGAAGCUCUUGAUCGAAGCCCCGGUAAACGGCGGCCGUAACUAUAACGGUCCUAAGGUAGCGAAAUUCCUUGUCGGGUAAGUUCCGACCUGCACGAAUGGCGUAACGAUGGCGGCGCUGUCUCCACCCGAGACUCAGUGAAAUUGAAAUCGCUGUGAAGAUGCAGUGUAUCCGCGGCUAGACGGAAAGACCCCGUGAACCUUUACUAUAGCUUUGCACUGGACUUUGAAUUUGCUUGUGUAGGAUAGGUGGGAGGCUUUGAAGCGUGGACGCCAGUCUGCGUGGAGCCAACCUUGAAAUACCACCCUGGCAACUUUGAGGUUCUAACUCAGGUCCGUUAUCCGGAUCGAGGACAGUGUAUGGUGGGUAGUUUGACUGGGGCGGUCUCCUCCUAAAGAGUAACGGAGGAGUACGAAGGUGCGCUCAGACCGGUCGGAAAUCGGUCGUAGAGUAUAAAGGCAAAAGCGCGCUUGACUGCGAGACAGACACGUCGAGCAGGUACGAAAGUAGGUCUUAGUGAUCCGGUGGUUCUGUAUGGAAGGGCCAUCGCUCAACGGAUAAAAGGUACUCCGGGGAUAACAGGCUGAUACCGCCCAAGAGUUCAUAUCGACGGCGGUGUUUGGCACCUCGAUGUCGGCUCAUCACAUCCUGGGGCUGAAGCCGGUCCCAAGGGUAUGGCUGUUCGCCAUUUAAAGUGGUACGCGAGCUGGGUUUAGAACGUCGUGAGACAGUUCGGUCCCUAUCUGCCGUGGACGUUUGAGAUUUGAGAGGGGCUGCUCCUAGUACGAGAGGACCGGAGUGGACGAACCUCUGGUGUUCCGGUUGUCACGCCAGUGGCAUUGCCGGGUAGCUAUGUUCGGAAAAGAUAACCGCUGAAAGCAUCUAAGCGGGAAACUUGCCUCAAGAUGAGAUCUCACUGGAACCUUGAGUUCCCUAAAGGGCCGUCGAAGACUACGACGUUGAUAGGUUGGGUGUGUAAGCGCUGUGAGGCGUUGAGCUAACCAAUACUAAUUGCCCGUGAGGCUUGACCAU